GCGUCCCGCCUGGAGCAAGCUCGGGGCUGAGUUUGAGGAGUCGAUGGCGCUAAAUAUCGGCUCAGUUGACUGCCAGAUCAAAGAGAA
rnacentral:ribozyme from 1 species